ensembl:lncRNA
AAAAAGCAGCCCUUCAGGCAGAUGCUACGAAAUGCCUAAACAUAGCUGAUAUGUUUGCUGCUCGUGGACAUGGAGCCUCCACAUCUGCAGCAGCAGCAUCAACAGGUAGUGGAGGAGAAGAUGCUCGACAGCAGGUGGACGAGGCGGCCAUGACGGUUCCCAUGCUUAAGGAGUGCUGGGUGUUGCUGCUGAGAAGAGGCAGAUGGGGUCGCCCCCCCCUGGUCUAGUCCUCCCCCCGGCUUCCUGCUUCUGCCUUAAUGGCUUGUAUAUUCUGGAGAACAGCAUUCGUAGAGACCGGCUGGCAGAGAUUCUGGAACGACGGGGAAAGGAAUACAAGAAACACCAUGCCAGGAACGCAUCGCCACUAGUACCAGGGGCAUUGGAUUCAGAUGAGAAAGGGGAUAAGCUCGAGUUUGAAUACACUCCUCUUAGCUCCAUCCAACUCUCCACUGCAGUAUCCCAUUCAGGGUUUCACAGUUCGCCCCAUGGUCCCCACUCUCAUUCCAGGUAUCACUAAAUGGUGCCAAAGGUGUGCUCCGUCUAGGGACCCCAAGUGAAGCAGAGUGUCGAAGUUGCCUUAUUAGGUCCUCCACAGUCGCCCCAUCAGUCCCUGGCAGUCUGGUCCCUGGAGCAGCUGGCCCUGGCAAAAGUUAUUCCUUCACUGUUGACCCCUGACUGACUGGCCCUCGGCACACAAAUCCCUGGAUCACCCGCCACUGGAUCACCUGCCCCUGAAUCACCUGCCCCUGGCAAUGUGGCCUCUUGAUUGCUCUCUCUGUCUCCUGUGAUGUCCUUUUCAACGCUCUUGAAAUCCACCUAAAUUUCUCCCUCAAUCUCUGUAACAAUUACAAGGUAAUGUUGCUGUUAUAUGUAUUUUGCCUUUGCAUUUGCAACUACUGUCAUCUCCAAUGUAAGAAAAUGAAUUAAAGCAAAACAUUUCUGUAAUGUGAAUUAAAUCAUCUGCCACAAUCAGAAACCAAUACAAUUUAUAAAAUGGAUCUACCGGCAAUUGUUAAUUGGGUAGAAAUGUGUCGAUUAUCUACAUUGUGUGCAAAUCCUCAGAGAAUCCCUGCCUUCUGGUUGUUUUUUAAACUGAAUGUACAAAUAUGAAUUAUGUAAUCUCAUUAGGAGUGUAGUCUAUCCUUGAAUUACAUGAAAUGGGGAAUAUUGUUAGCUGCAUGGAUCAUACCGAAGUUUAAUUUGGCGCAAUAUGUGUGGUCCGUUGCACUUGGUUCCGGAGGCACCCUCACAGAAGGGGGUUUCCUCCUCUUCGGUUUAGGUCG